rnacentral:rRNA from 1 species
UACGUAGGGUGCGAGCGUUGUCCGGAAUUAUUGGGCGUAAAGGGCUCGUAGGCGGUUUGUCGCGUCGGGAGUGAAAUCCACUGGCUUAACUGGUGGCUUGCUUUCGAUACGGGCAGACUGGAGGUAUGCAGGGGAGAACGGAAUUCCUGGUGUAGCGGUGAAAUGCGUAGAUAUCUGGAGGAACACCGGUGGCGAAGGCGGCGUCCUGGACCAACACUGACACUGAUGAGCGAAAGCCAGGGGAGCAAACGGG